rnacentral:rRNA from 1 species
GUGAGGAAUAUUGAGCAAUGGGCGAAAGCCUGACUCAGCAACGCCGCGUGGGCGAUGAAGACCUUCGGGUCGUAAAGCCCUUUUCUGAGGGACGAGGAAGGACGGUACCUCAGGAAUAAGUCACGGCUAACUACGUGCCAGCAGCCGCGGUAAUACGUAGGUGGCUAGCGUUAUCCGGAUUCACUGGGCGUAAAGCGCGUGCAGGCGGUUUCGUAAGUCGGACGUGAAAGCUCCUGGCUUAACUGGGAGAGGUCGUUCGAUACUGCGGGGCUUGAGGUCGGGAGAGGGACGCGGAAUUCCCGGUGUAGUGGUGGAAUGCGUAGAUAUCGGGAGGAACACCAGUGGCGAAGGCGGCGUCCUGGCCCGCACCUGACGCUUAGACGCGAAAGCGUGGGGAGCGAACGGGAUUAGAUACCCGUGUAGUCC